UGGUAUAGAGGUACUACGUAUGUGUAUGGUAUAGAGGUACUACGUAUGUGUAUGGUAUAGUGGUACUACGUAUGUGUAUGGUAUAGUGGUACUACGUAUGUGUAUGGUAUAGAGGUACUACGUAUGUGUAUGGUAUAGAGGUACUACGUAUGUGUAUGGUAUAGUGGUACUAUGUGUGUGUAUGGUAUAGAGGUACUACGUAUGUGCAUGGUAUAGAGGUACUACGUAUGUGUAUGGUAUAGAGGUACUACGUAUGUGUAUGGUAUAGAGGUACUACGUAUGUGUAUGGUAUAGAGGUACUAUGUAUGUGUAUGGUAUAGAGGUACUACGUAUGUGUAUGGUAUAGAGGUACUACGUAUGUGCAUGGUAUAGUGGUACUACGUAUGUGCAUGGUAUAGUGGUACUACGUAUGUGUAUGGUAUAGAGGUACUACGUAUGUGUAUGGUAUAGAGGUACUACGUAUGUGUAUGGUAUAGUGGUACUACGUAUGUGUAUGGUAUAGAGGUACUACGUAUGUGUAUGGUAUAGUGGUACUAUGUAUGUGUAUGGUAUAGAGGUACUACGUAUGUGUAUGGUAUAGAGGUACUAUGUAUGUGCAUUGUAUAGUGGUACUACGUAUGUGUAUGGUAUAGAGGUACUACGUAUGUGUAUGGUAUAGAGGUACUACGUAUGUGUAUGGUAUAGUGGUACUACGUAUGUGUAUGGUAUAGAGGUACUACGUAUGUGCAUGGUAUAGAGGUACUAUGUAUGUGUAUGGUAUAGAGGUACUACGUAUGUGCAUGGUAUAGAGGUACUAUGUGUGUGUAUGGUAUAGAGGUACUACGUAUGUGUAUGGUAUAGAGGUACUACGUAUGUGUAUGGUAUAGUGGUACUACGUAUGUGCAUGGUAUAGAGGUACUACGUAUGUGUAUGGUAUAGUGGUACUAUGUAUGUGUAUGGUAUAGAGGUACUACGUAUGUGUAUGGUAUAGAGGUACUAUGUAUGUGCAUUGUAUAGUGGUACUACGUAUGUGUAUGGUAUAGAGGUACUACGUAUGUGUAUGGUAUAGAGGUACUACGUAUGUGUAUGGUAUAGUGGUACUACGUAUGUGCAUGGUAUAGAGGUACUACGUAUGUGCAUGGUAUAGAGGUACUACGUAUGUGUAUGGUAUAGAGGUACUACGUAUGUGCAUGGUAUAGUGGUACUAUGUAUGUGUAUGGUAUAGAGGUACUAUGUAUGUGUAUGGUAUAGAGGUACUACGUAUGUGUAUGGUAUAGUGGUACUAUGUAUGUGUAUGGUAUAGAGGUACUACGUAUGUGUAUGGUAUAGUGGUACUAUGUAUGUGUAUGGUAUAGAGGUACUAUGUAUGUGUAUGGUAUAGAGGUACUACGUAUGUGUAUGGUAUAGUGGUACUAUGUAUGUGUAUGGUAUAGAGGUACUACGUAUGUGUAUGGUAUAGUGGUACUAUGUAUGUGUAUGGUAUAGAGGUACUACGUAUGUGUAUGGUAUAGUGGUACUAUGUAUGUGUAUGGUAUAGAGGUACUACGUAUGUGCAUAGUAUAGAGGUACUACGUAUGUG